rnacentral:sRNA from 1 species
CUUGGUCAUUUAGAGGAAGUAAAAGUCGUAACAAGGUCUCCGUAGGUGAACCUGCGGAGGGAUCAUUACAAGUGACCCCGGUCUAACCACCGGGAUGUUCAUAACCCUUUGUUGUCCGACUCUGUUGCCUCCGGGGCGACCCUGCCUUCGGGCGGGGGCUCCGGGUGGACACUUCAAACUCUUGCGUAACUUUGCAGUCUGAGUAAACUUAAUUAAUAAAUUAAAACUUUUAACAACGGAUCUCUUGGUUCUGGCAUCGAUGAAGAACGCAGCGAAAUGCGAUAAGUAAUGUGAAUUGCAGAAUUCAGUGAAUCAUCGAAUCUUUGAACGCACAUUGCGCCCCCUGGUAUUCCGGGGGGCAUGCCUGUUCGAGCGUCAUUUCACCACUCAAGCCUCGCUUGGUAUUGGGCAACGCGGUCCGCCGCGUGCCUCAAAUCGACCGGCUGGGUCUUCUGUCCCCUAAGCGUUGUGGAAACUAUUCGCUAAAGGGUGUUCGGGAGGCUACGCCGUAAAACAACCCCAUUUCUAAGGUUGACCUCGGAUCAGGUAGGGAUACCCGCUGAACUUAAGCAUAUCAAUAAGCGGAGGAAAAGAAACCAACAGGGAUUGCUCUAGUAACGGCGAGUGAAGCAGCAAUAGCUCAAAUUUGAAAUCUGGCGUCUUCGACGUCCGAGUUGUAAUUUGUAGAGGAUGCUUCUGAGUAACCACCGACCUAAGUUCCUUGGAACAGGACGUCAUAGAGGGUGAGAAUCCCGUAUGCGGUCGGAAAGGUGCUCUAUACGUAGCUCCUUCGACGAGUCGAGUUGUUUGGGAU